GAAGUUUUCGGAUCGCGGCGACGUCGACGGUUCGCCGUCGGUGACGUUGUGAGAAGUUCAUUAAACCUUAUCAUUUAGAGGAAGGAGAAGUCGUAACAAGGUUUCCGUAGGUGAACCUGCGGAAGGAUCAUUG
rnacentral:rRNA from 1 species